GCCCUAGUUUGGUUUUGGAUAAUUGAUGAAACUCUAGUACUAACCUCUAUACUAAGUGUGUGUAGACUUAAUGAGGUUGGUACAUGCCAAGUGAUGGAGCAAGUAAUGAUCAUGGUGAUGAUGGUGAUGACCACAAGAUGAUAAAUUGCUCAACUUGGAAAAGAAGAAAGAGAAAAACAAAACCCUAUGGAGAUCAAGGCAAAGGUAUUGCUUAGGGUUUUAGUUUUGGUGAUCAAGACACCAUAGAGUGUGUGAUCACAUUUAGGAUAGAUAGCCGUACUAUAAAGAGGAGAAUUCUUUGGCUAAGCGGUUAUCAAGUGCCACUAGGUGUCAUUGUUCAUGUGCAUGCAUUU
rnacentral:lncRNA from 1 species